rnacentral:rRNA from 1 species
UACGUAGGUGGCAAGCGUUGUCCGGAAUUACUGGGUGUAAAGGGAGCGUAGGCGGGAAUACAAGUUGAAUGUGAAAACUAUGGGCUCAACCCAUAGUUGCGUUCAAAACUGUGUUUCUUGAGUGAAGUAGAGGUAAGCGGAAUUCCUAGUGUAGCGGUGAAAUGCGUAAAUAUUAGGAGGAACACCAGUGGCGAAGGCGGCUUACUGGGCUUUAACUGACGCUGAGGCUCGAAAGCGUGGGUAGCAAACAGG